rnacentral:rRNA from 1 species
CCUACGGGAGGCAGCAGUGAGGAAUAUUGGUCAAUGGGCGCGAGCCUGAACCAGCCAAGUAGCGUGAAGGAUGACUGCCCUACGGGUUGUAAACUUCCUUUAUAAAGUAAUAAAGUGAGACCCGUGUGCCUUUUUGUAUGUACUUUAUGAAUAAGGAUCGGCUAACUCCGUGCCAGCAGCCGCGGUAAUACGGCGGAUCCGAGCGUUAUCCGGAUUUAUUGGGUUUAAAGGGAGCGUAGAUGGGUUGUUAAGUCAGUUGUGAAAGUUUGCGGCGCAACCGUAAAAUUGCAAUUGAUACUGGCAGCCUUGAGUACAGUUGAGGUAGGCGGAAUUCGUGGUGUAGCGGUGAAAUGCUUAGAUAUCACGAAGAACUCCGAUUGCGAAGGCAGCUUACUAAACUGCCACUGACAUUGAUGCUCGAAAGUGUGGGUAUCAAACAGGAUUAGAUACCCGAGUAGUC